GGAAGGGCUCGCGCUACACUUCACGAUACUUGAGUUACGGAAGAGAAAGGGGAUCAGCAAAUAACACAAAACAAGAAACACAUCUAUAAAAUGGAAUGUCCGAGUCAGCAAAAUCAUUACCCGCAUAAGGGCACUCAACGUACCAGUAUGUCGAGCACAU